rnacentral:rRNA from 1 species
AUUGAACGCUGGCGGCAGGCCUAACACAUGCAAGUCGAGCGAGCGGCGGACGGGUGAGUAAUGUAUGGGGACUGCCCGAUAGAGGGGGAUAACUACUGGAAACGGUAGCUAAUACCGCAUACUAUCGGAUAACCCAUAUGGGAUUGGCUAGUAGGUGAGGUAAUGGCUAACCUAGGCGACGAUCCCUAGCUGGUCUGAGAGGAUGAUCAGCCAAAUUGGGACUGAGACACGGCCCAGACUCCUACGGAGGCAGCAGUGGGGAAUAUUGCACAAUGGGCGAAAGCCUGAUGCAGCCAUGCCGCGGGUAUUAAGAAGGCCCUAGGGUUGUAAAGUACUUUCAGUCGGGAGGCGUUACCGACAGAAGAAGCACCGGCUAACUCCGUGCCAGAAGCCGCGGUAAUUC